CACUCACAACAAUUAUGAUAUUAUUAUCAACACAAAUUACAAUCCAUUCUACAAAUUCAUAUGAUACAAUACUUCAAAUCGUGCCUGCACAGGAUAAAUAAAAAUAAGUUAGGACAAAUAAAAAUAAGUGUUCAAUUAUUAUACUUUAUACUUCAGAAAGCAGAUGAAGAGAAAGAGUAGUCCAAGAAGAGAGAACAAUAUUCCAUGAUGAAGAACAUCUAUCACCUUAAAAUACUAAAAAUAAAGCUCCAAACUUUAUCAAAAUUCAAUUCAGAUUUGAAAUUUGAUUACCUUAUUUAUGUAACUGUUUUUUCUUCCCAAAUUCUCAGAUUUUGCAACAUCACCUCAUUUUUUGCUUCCAUUACCUUCUUUAGUUGCUUUGUGAUUCUGAUGUAAAAUCUUCAGCAAAAACAGUUGCAAAAAAACCCCAAAACAUUGUCAAUUGAAACCCUAAUUACCCCAUUCAAUUAAAUUAAAUUAAAUAAAUAAACAGAUGGAAACAAAAAUACACUUUCAAAAGAGAUGAACAUUUGACAAUACAAAUGGAAAAACUGAGAAAAAUGGAGCUAACAUUUUGGACAAAAAUCAUAUAAAUGCAAACAAAACUGGACACGAUGAGAAUACUGGAAAAUCCCUCGGUUUUUGCUUGCAUUACCUUCUAUAGGUGCUUUGUGAUUCUGAUGCAAAAUCUUAUGCAAAAAUGAUAUAGAAUACUGGAAAACGAAACAAACAUAAAAGUAACAAUAUUAAUACCAGUGGAGCAAAGGAAAUGCAAAAAAG
rnacentral:lncRNA from 1 species